GCGAAGCACGUAAGGGAUGGAAGUGGAUAUCCUUUUUUGUUAUUGCGAUUUCUGAAAAGUUCAACAGAUUGCUUCACUUCGUGCGCAAUGACAAAAAAGAUAGAAACGGACAGCCCGACCCGAG
rnacentral:sRNA from 1 species